rnacentral:rRNA from 1 species
UACAGAGGGGGCAAGCGUUGUUCGGAAUUACUGGGCGUAAAGGGCGCGUAGGCGGCCUGUUAAGUCGAACGUGAAAUCCCCGGGCUCAACCCGGGAACUGCGUCCGAUACUGGCAGGCUUGAAUCCGGGAGAGGGAUGCGGAAUUCCAGGUGUAGCGGUGAAAUGCGUAGAUAUCUGGAGGAACACCGGUGGCGAAGGCGGCAUCCUGGACCGGUAUUGACGCUGAGGCGCGAAAGCCAGGGGAGCAAGCGGG